UAGGUGGUUCGAUACGUCGGAUGUGAAAAUCAGGGGCUCAACCCCUGACCUGCAUCCGAUACGGUCGAGCUAGAGUUUGGUAGGGGAGACUGGAAUUCCUGGUGUAGCGGUGGAAUGCGCAGAUAUCAGGAGGAACACCGAUGGCGAAGGCAGGUCUCUGGGCCAAUACUGACACUGAGGAGCGAAAGCGUGGGGAGCGAACAGGAUUAGAUACCCUGGUAGUCCACGCCGUAAACGGUGGGCGCUAGUUGUGCGAACCUUCCACGGUUUGUGCGACGCAGCUAACGCAUUAAGCGCCCCGCCUGGGGAGUACGAUCGCAAGAUUAAAACUCAAAGGAAUUGACGGGGCCCCGCACAAGCAGCGGAGCAUGCGGCUUAAUUCGACGCAACGCGAAGAACCUUACCAAGGCUUGACAUAUACAGGAAUAUGGCAGAGAUGUCAUAGCCGCAAGGUCUGUAUACAGGUGGUGCAUGGUUGUCGUCAGCUCGUGUCGUGAGAUGUUGGGUUAAGUCCCGCAACGAGCGCAACCCUCGUUCUGUGUUGCCAGCAUUAAGUUGGGGACUCACAGGAGACUGCCGGGGUUAACUCGGAGGAAGGUGGGGAUGACGUCAAAUCAUCAUGCCCCUUAUGUCUUGGGCUGCACGCAUGCUACAAUGGCUGGUACAAACGGCUGCGAUACCGCAAGGUGGAGCGAAUCCGAUAAAGCCAGUCUCAGUUCGGAUUGGGGUCUGCAACUCGACCCCAUGAAGUCGGAGUUGCUAGUAAUCGUAGAUCAGCAACGCUACGGUGAAUACGUUCCCGGGGCUUGUACACACCGCCCGUCACAUCACGAAAGUCGGUAACACCCAAAGUCAGUGGCCCAACCGUAAGGAGGGAGCUGCCAAAGGUGGGAUCGGUGAUUGGGAUGAAGUCGUAACAAGGUA
rnacentral:rRNA from 1 species